AAAGGACGUACAUUUGCGUGAACUCUGCACAACACCAGGACCUUCUUCUGACUCCGUCUCCCCUCUUCUAACAGUAAGUAGGUUGUCUCGAAGUUCUAGGACGUGGCCAAGUCUCUCUCAGUCCCAAGGUGUAAGUGGGCACACCUGUGGGUUAGGCAGCACCAGAGACCUGGAGUCUAGCCUUAUGCUGCCACUGACUAAGCAAGACAUUUUUGCUCUCUGAUAAAAAUGUGGUGACUGAACCAGGGGUCAUCUCUAUAAACGUCUUCUCAGUGAUAAGAGAGUAUAUGGUUCUAUCUUCGUACGUAAUUUUGAGUUCUAAAAUAUUUUUUCCUACGGACCUUGUAAAAGUCCCUUAUAUUGUAGUUGUUUGCCUCCGGGUGAGAAAAGGAGUCAAAGGGUUGAAUGUCAAGUUGAGACAAGGCUAUAUGGCUACUGUUAGACAUGUAGGAUUCAGUGCAAAGAACUAGCAUCAAAUUAGGUCAAAUCAAUAUAUUUACCAAAGGGCUACUCACAGCCAUGAACUGAAACAGACUCCCUGACACACUGAGGUUGCCCACUAGCCCUGCAUGGACUUUCAGACAGAACAUAAGCAGUGAGGGGCGCCUGGUUGGCUCAGUCAGUGAAGCGUCCGACUUCGGCUCACGUCAUGGUCUCAUGGUUCAUGAGUUCGAGCCCCAUAUCGAGCUGUCAGCACAGAGCCUGGAGCCUGCUUCAGAUUGUGGGUCUCCCUCUCUCUCUGCCCCUCCCCCACUUGCAUUCUGUCUCUCUCAAAAAUGAACAUUAAAAAAAUUUUUUUAAAAAAGAACAUAAGCAGUGAUAGGAAAAUAAGCCAAAAACAAAUAAACUUAUUAUUUUAUGAUAUUCUUUCGUUUACUUAUAAAGUUAUCAUUAAUCAUUAAAUGUUUUAUUGAAGAAUACUUUCCAACCAGCAAAUAGAUGAAAAUCUAUGUGGCAAAACACAAAGUACGAUUAGGUAUGCCUCUGAUUUAGAUGGUUCUAAUUUAGUGCCUUUCUCUGACCCCCCAGAUAGGACCACCUUAACAACUUUAUUCCAAAAACUGCCAUCUUAGCAUUCCCUUCUGCACUUUAUAGGUUGGAAUAUUUUAAAAUACAGAGUUUGUAUAAAAUGGGUAAUAGAAGGUCAUUGUUGGGCCAUUCUUGUUUAUCUCCAGCAGGUUGAUAAACUCCACCAAGCUAUGUGAUUUCAUCUCUUGUACUUCUGUCUUAUAGACAGAAAAGGGCAUCAUUAGCCAAGUACCAGGAGGAUGGAAAGAAGCAGGCACCCAGUAACAGCAAUAAGCACCCCCCUAGCCAUCCCAAAUAAGCACACUAGACAAAAAUGCUGCGUGAGCAAACAACUUCAGAACAAGUCCCCUUCAGCCCAUCCCUCCACUCCAACAACUAUUCCUAAAGUUCCCCCAAUCUCUCCACCCCCAACCCUCACAAUCUGGAGCUGUCACUGCACUCACAGGGGCUCACAGAGAGACUGUGUGCCACAGUGGCAGAAGUCAAAUUUGGACAGAUAGAUCUAAUGGUUUUGAUCACUGGAGACGCAAAUCUGUUUCAACAGUAGAACCAAUGGAGGCAAAGGAUAGAAAUUGAAUCUGAAGAACAGAAGCAGCAAGGGGAAUUUAUUGACUCAUAUAAAUGAAAAGUCCAUGGGGAAUGGAGAUAGCUGUCAAUAUGGCUGGAUCCAUAAAUGCCUGUCACCAGGAAUCUUGAUUUCUCUGUCUUCCAUGCUGGCAUCAUUUCCAGUUGGCAUUCUGUGCAUGGUAGCAAAGAUGGACACCAGCAGUCCAAGUUUAUGUUCUACAGGCUUAGAAACCUCAGCUGAGGGCAUGUGUCUCUUUCCAGUGGCUCUAGCAGAAGUCCCAGGAUGGAGUCUCAUGGUCUGACUUGGAUCAUGCACCUAUUACCAUUUACCAGCCUCUGAGUUAUGUCCCAGCUCCUAGAGCCAUCGGGUAACAGACCACAUGAGACAUGUGGAUUGAGAAUGAGAAAGGGCAUGCUCCAAAGCAAGAGAGGGGAAAGGAUGCCAGGAAGACAGAAACCAAGAGUAUGGGUAUCCCCAAAUGGCAGGCUUAGCUGUCUGAACCACAUUAACCCCAGGAUUUUUCUAUUCUCAGUUUGGUGCAUACUAAACACUAUUUAGGAUUCUGUUAAAUCACAAGGAGUUGUUCCCAUCAAAAAUUGGGACAUAAUCAGCCUCAGGGGCACCCCUUGUGUUCUUUUCUAGGUACAACUCACCAGAAGGUAACCAAUACCCUGACUUUUAAUACCAUAGAUAAAUUCUGUUUUUAUACCUUAUAUGAACGGCAUCACAUAGAAUGUACUCUUACAAUUGUACACAUUCUUUAUGUACAUUAUAUUUCAAUAACAAGUUUAUUUUUAAAAAGAGCUAAUCAUGAUAUUUUCUGCACCCUACCAACAUUAUAAACUGUGUAACUUUCAAGGACUUUCACAGCCUUUUCAGAAAUGGCUUUCUCUCCAAGCAAAACAAUCUCUUAGAAAGCAAAUUCUUUAUGCAUCUGCAGUAAACCACAGGUGACCAAGGUCACAGGCAGUGGGGCCCACACCAGGGACCUGGCAUGCUCUUCAGCCUCUCAGCUCCUUCUGCACAGCCUUCCACCCUGGGCUCUGUCCUCUUAUAGUGAGAAGAAUGGACUGGAGAAAACCUGCUCAGGAAACCUUAGUCCAGGCAGGAGACGAAGAUGCCUUGUGUGGGGACGGCGGCAGGGCGAAGUUUCAGGUUUUCACUCAGAAAGUUCACAAAACUCUGGCACCUACUCCUGUUUUGUCAGCAAGUACAGUGGAUGAAACAGUAAUUGAGCAAAAGAGGCAAUUUAGACACACAGAGAGACACUGGGACAUGCACGCACAGGGAAAAGGCAAUGAGAGGACACAUAAGGAGGCAGCCAUCUGCAAACCAAGGAGAGAGGCCUCAGGAGAAACCGAACCUGCUGACAUCCUGAUCUUGAACUACGAGCCUCCAGAACCGUGAGAGAAUAAAUAUGUGUUGUUUAGGCCUCUCAGUCUGAUGUCUUGUUGUAACAGCCCCCCAAAACACAUACACCUUCCUUUUAGGCCUCUGAACCUCAGUCAGAGUUUGCACACCCAGACAGUGGAAGCUGGACUGCAGCCUCUGGCCACCAACCUUCUUCCCCCGGGCAUGUUCUCCUAGCCCCGGCUGGAAAAGUGGAGGAACAAAUUGUAACUGUGCUCUGGGGCACACACGGAUGUCCUCCAUGAACCAACAGGUUCCCGACUCUUGUAGAAAGUCAUCACUUUAUGCUACGCCUUGUGCUCCUCCCCAUGCUCUUUUCCGGCACAAAUACCAACAGGGGGAGCCACCUUUACCUUCCACCCACGUGACCGAGUGACACAGAGGGGCUGCGAGCACAGUCAGCGGGCACCAGGCCCCUCUGGAAGGGGACACACCAAGAGGAGGUGGGAGGACUGGGGGACCUCAAAAUUGUCUCUGGCCUUGUGCUGGCUCUGGGCCCCUGCCAGAGACAGCGGUUUCUAGGGAUGAGAACAUUUUGAAAGAGACUCUCUGGGUGGUGGUUAAGCCCCCGUGGGUGGAGGGCUCCCGCCUCACCCCCACCAGGCGCCCCUCCCAUGCUGUUCCCCUCCCAGAUGCCCAGCAGCCACGGGGGCGCAGCUGCUCCGAAUUAGUGCUGGGGCCCUGCUGCGGAACAGAGCACAGCCGGGAUGGGGGCGUCCCACCCACUCUGACUCUGGGAGGCUCUAGGAGGGUGUGUAAGAAAGCUGGACGGCAGUGGUUUUCCCUCAGCGCGGCCACGUGGCGUCUCUCUCACAGUCAGUAAGAUGGAGAAGCAGGGACAAACCUGGUGGUAGAUUUAGAAGGGAGAAUGAGCAAAACUUGAUGGCUGGGGGCACUGUUGGGAGUGGGGUGGAGACGUGAGAGGAGCUAGGAUCAUUCAUGUUCUGGCUUAAAUGGCUGGAUAGACCAAGAGGUCAUUCUCUAGCCACAGCGACUCUAGGAGGAGUAGUUUUGAAGAUAAUUACAGAUUUCCUUAUGGCAAUUAUGUUAUAAUAUAUGCAUUUAUGUGUUUCUUCCUCCAACUAGACUGUAUACUCCUUGAGGGCAGAGAAACUCUGUAGGCACUUCUGUAUAUUGCAGGCACCAGGUUGGAGCAUUCAUUCAGCACUUACCGAACAAACACUAAUUGAGGGCCCACUGUGUGCACAGCAGUGGCUCAAGUACUGCACCAGCUCUAGAAGUGCGGGGGCCAGACACACAAGUUUAUUAUCUCUUGGAUAAAUAUUUUACUUGAUUUUUUAUUGAAAAUAAUUUUUUUAAUGUUUAUUUAUUUUUAAGAGCUAGAACGCGAGCAGGGGAGGGGCAGAGAGAAAGGGAGACACAGAAUCCGAAGCAGGCUCCAGGCUCUGAGCUAUCAGCACAGAACUCAUGAACCUCGAGAUCAUGACCUGAGCCGAAGUCUGAUGCCCAACCAACCGAGUCACCCGGGCGCCCCUCUUGGGUAAAUAUUUUAAAGAAUGGUGAUUAUAUUUUCUUUUUUUCUAUAUUCUUGAUUUUCUGACAUCUGGGUCCUUGAUGACUCUCAGGGCUAGUGAAUUCUUAGACACAGCAAACUACUUGCCUGAGAAUACACCCUUCCUAUGCAAACCAACCAGUCCAGAACCCAUACUCCCGACUACCUCCUUUAUCAAGCUCUCACAUGUUGACUGCUGCCCUAAAUCAACCCAGAGCCUAAUCAUUCCAGUUGUGCAGUCCCCACACCUUGGAGCCCACUGAAAUGAUUCAAAGUAGUCAAUCCUAAGCCUACUCACCCCACCUCAUCCACUCCUUCCUGGUGAAACCACAAUAAAGACUUUUACCUGCACUUCCCCUUCACUCUCCUUCUGCCUCCUGACCGACCCUGGUGCUUCCCCAUGUAGCCCCAUGGGGCAUGGCAUGGCAUGCCUUCUGUUUCUAGGGAUCUGUGCAUAUACACUUCCAUCAUGACAGUCAUUCUGUGUCUGUGUGUCUAACCACAUGUGAUUAAAACAAAUCCUGGGUAUGUUUUAAAACAGAUGGUUAAAAGUUUAACUGUAAGUUAACAACUGGUUUCUUCCAGUGACUGUAAGUUAACAACUGGUUUCUUCCAAGCAGUGGAAAGUACAUCCUCUUCAAAGGGGAGAAAAGAGGUGUCAGUUCUAUCAUUACGUUGAAAUGGAAUGGAAGUGACGGAAGAAACUAGUUUGGGGAGAACAUGGGACACAUCCAUCAACAGGCAGUCCCCUGUUGCCCCUAAUGUGACUUCAUGGGUUUGGGGUAAAAUAAAGAGCAAGGAAAAAGCAGAAGAAUGGCCCUCACCAUACACCCUGCAGAGCCUUGCACAGGCUGGAAAAACACAGAAUGAUCCAGUUAACACCUGCUGCAUCGAAGCAAAGAAUCUUCUUUUCAGAAAUUAUUUUAAUUUUUUUAAGUUUAUUUAUUUAUUUUCAGAGAGACAGUAUGAAUGGGGGGGGGGGGAGGCCAAGAAAGGGAGAAAGAGAGGCAAUCCAAGCAGGCUCUACGCUGCCAGCACAGAGCCUGAUGUGGGGCUUGAACUCACGAACCGUAAGAUCAUGACCUGAGCCGAAAUCAAGAGUUGGACGCUUAACGGAGUGAGUCACCCAGGCACCCCAGGAAUGAUUUUAUUAAAGUCACGGAAACCAACAACACAAGGAGAUGAAGGAAGCAAUUAUUUUUGAGAGAGAGAUCAGGGGAGAGGCAGAGAGAGAGAUGGAGACACAGAAUCCAAAGCAGGCUCCAGGCUCUGAGCUGUCAGCACAGAACUUGACGUGGGGCUCAAACUCACAAGCCAUGAGAUCAUGACCUGAGCCGAAGUUGGACACUUAACUGACUGAGCCACCCAGGAGCCCCAGGAGGUUUAUUUCUUAAUGGUGGCAUCAGAAGCUCCCAUUAAUCAUGAAAGAUGACAUGAGAUCAUGGGUAGGUAAAGCAUUUAGCACAACAUCUGGUAUCAAGCGAGCACUCAAAAUUAUAGUUGUUAUUGCUGUUGUUCUUAGAGAUGGGCAAAAUGGAUUCUUUACAUGACUUUCCUAGUAAAUGACAUUUAGAUGACCAAUUAUCAAAAAGACAAUAAAAUAAAGUUCAUUCAACCAUAUGGCUGGGCUGCACAUAAUUUCAUCUUCCUUUGAUGUCUUUGAUUGAUGUCUUUGAUGUCAUGAUUCUGAAUACACUUUAAGAUCUCACCCUGUUUCUGAUAUAUUAUGAAUAACAUUAAUUGCCUCUGUAUUUUAAUGAUCAUAAAAAAUAUCCUGAUUAUAUUUGGUUCCUGGAUACACACAAAGUGACUCAGUAGGGAUGCUGGGAAACCACAUCACUGGACUAGAAAGAAGCAUGACUUAACUGUAGGUAUCUGCAGAGCUAUGACCCUUCCCAGGUAGGGAGCUGUGUGUGUGUGCGCACGUGUGUGUGUGUGUGUGUGUGUGUGUUUAUCUCUAGGAGGAACCAAUCUAAUCUUGAAAAAAUGCUCUAAAGUUCUCUCUACUAGAAACCUAAAAGGAACAGACAAGAAACAAGCAUCUAAGAGCUUAGCUCCAAAUUACACAUCUUUACCUUUAUCCCACUCACCCUGGAUCAACCCAGGAACUAUAGACAUAGCUAUUUUAUUUGGUACAUAUAAAGUAACAUAAAUUAUGAUCUCUGUUUCUUUACCUUUUCCUCUAUAAGUUUUAUAUGCCCAAACAGACACAGCAAUACACAAAGGAAUUCUGCUGAUUCCACUUUCUCUGCUUUCAGCUCCAGAUAGCAUAAACACCAAAUAAACACUAACCCUGUAGAGGCAAAAACGGACAAGCCCUUCUUGGCUUGUGAAAAUCAGGGAUGCUUAAUCACUGUCCCCAUCCCCACAAGACCUCCAGAAGCUUCUUUUGCCUCCUUCUUCCCACUGUUUCCCUCUCUGGAGUCUUUAAACAUCCCCAAUUCACCUUCCAGAAUAUUGAGUUAAACAUUUUCAGACUGAUAAUUCAAACAGCAGGCAACAACAAGGAUCACAAGAGCCUAGACACACAUGGAACCCAGGACUGUCAUCACGACUCGUGCAGCAGCAUAGGCACCCAGCAAUCUUAGCCAGAGUGAGCACCGGGGCUACCUGACCAACAGCUGUGCUUCUGCCCUGCCUGCCCAUCCUCGUUUCCAAUCCAGGCAAACUCUCUUGGCAAAACCCACUAAGCUGAGCCUAUGGGUAUUAACCCAUUUCUACCUUCAAUGCCUAUUUGCAGGGAAAUAUAGAGUCAAUAUCUUCAAAUCCUCUUCUGAUGCUCACCUUUAAGUCACUACCUUCAGGAGAAACAUC